UAGGGAAUCUUGCGCAAUGGGGGAAACCCUGACGCAGCCAUGCCGCGUGAAUGAUGAAGGUCUUAGGAUUGUAAAAUUCUUUCAGCGGGGAAGAUAAUGACGGUACCCGCAGAAGAAGCUCCGGCUAACUUCGUGCCAGCAGCCGCGGUAAUACGAAGGGGGCUAGCGUUGCUCGGAAUUACUGGGCGUAAAGGGCGCGUAGGCGGAUGUUUAAGUCAGGGGUCAAAUCCCGGGGCUCAACCUCGGAACUGCCUUUGAUACUGGACAUCUUGAGUACGGGAGAGGUGUGUGGAACUCCGAGUGUAGAGGUGAAAUUCGUAGAUAUUCGGAAGAACACCAGUGGCGAAGGCGACACACUGGCCCGUUACUGACGCUGAGGCGCGAAAGCGUGGGGAGCAAACAGGAUUAGAUACCCGCGUAGUCC
rnacentral:rRNA from 1 species